GAAGUCUGGGCUACCGGCGCCGCGUAGUGGAUGCAGCAUCCUAGUUGAGGACGCCCCUCUGGUGAGUGUGCCCGUGCCCCCCGCCGCCCCUCCGUCCCUGGGUCGUGGGCUGUCAAACCUUCUAAUUCUGCGGCCGCCCCAGGACUGCGAGACCCAGCGUCGCGGCUGCUGGGACAGACCGGGGAGGCUGCCGGUGUCCCGGGCUAUUCCGGGGCUGUUCUUCAGCUUCUUCCGGCUCAGCCUCCUCUUCUCUCCUCGCUCCUUACACUUGCAGGUUUGUCAGGACCCGGUUGCGUAUCGUCUUGCAGCUGGUUUCUCCCUGGCUGACCCCGUCCACGAUCGUGACCUCAGUUAUCCCUCAUAGACACUUUCCACACCUGUGUCUCCAGCCCGAUCGCUCCGAUGAAACCGAAGCGCUUAGACUUGGUUCAUAACACCCAAAGCUCCCCGGCCCCAGGCUGAGCUCCUGUAACCUCCACACCCCACCCUCUGGUCCUCCCAGGCAUUCCACCGCGAAGGGGAGGAGGCAGAAACCCGAGAUUCGCUGUUGCUUUCCUGCCCACGCCCAGCCACACAGUCACUGAUCUGCCCUCCUUGGCACUGUGCUUCCCCAGAGGGGUGGCCUC
rnacentral:sRNA from 1 species